CGCAGACUUUUCAGAGCCCUGCGCAGGCUGUCACUGCCCCGCCUCCCACCGCUGCUGGCCCUGUGACAGUCUUUUUCUACCACGCCUAGAAGGUUACACCCCAAAGCUGGGGCAGCCAGUGACCGGCAGAAGGGACAGAAGCCCACCUCCCUGUCCCCAUCUCCUCCUCACCCCCUUCACAGAGGGACAGUCCCACGGGCCUGUCUACACCUCUUGCACCACCUUAGCUGUGAGCCCGAAAGUGCUUUCUAGCAAUGGAAGAAAGCAGGCCUCGUUUAUCCUAACCUCUGGAUGUGCCACGUAUUGACUUCGGGCUGGGAUUUCCUCAGCUUGCAAUAAAGAAGAACAACCACCGGAUGGCAGCAAAUGUGCAGUAAGCAAAGUCAAUUCCUUUUCAGAAUUCAAAGUGCACAGUCGCAGGUCUGAACAGAAGAGCUGGGAUCUGUGAUGUGGCAGGCUCCAUUUGACUGCUUUAAAAGUAAGAUCUUUUGCCUGUAAAUAGAUUCAGUUUGAUGAAAUUCAAGUGUAUAUAAAGAAGACUCAUAAUCCAAUAAAAAAUACAAGCACAGCAAAGGAGUUUAAUAUGUAUUCUAAAGAUAUGUGCUUUCCCAAAUUGAUUUGUGGAUUCAAUGCAUGAUCAGAACCUGCAAGAUUUUUAAUGGGGUUUUAACGAGAUGAUUCUAAAAUUUAUAUAACCAGAAAGUGAUGAAGUACUGUAUUCAGAGGAAGAGAGAGAAAGAAGAAAAGAGCAAAAACUAAUCCACAAUAAAAAAAACAAAAAAAAACUAAUCCACAAUGAAAGAGGUAUGUCAAAGGGACACAGGAGCCAACUGCAAGAACUUCUGACAGCCACAGCUAGAACAAUCUGAGCAACAAAAGCAAGUAGUAAAGGGUUAUCACAAAAGCAC
rnacentral:lncRNA from 1 species